AAAGCGCGAAAUGUAAUGUGAAUUGCAGAAUUCAGUGAAUCAUCGAAUCUUUGAACGCACCUUGCGCUCUCGGGUCAUUCCUGGGAGCAUGUUCGUUUGAGUGUCGCGUACCUCUCAACCCCACCUUCUAACCAAGGUUGUCUUAGGGUUGGAUCAUGAAGUUUGUCUUCUCAGGAAGACUGCGUUGAAAUGCAACAAGCUGUACCUUUGUACUGGCGGCUUGACCCGUUGUCAUAAGAUUAAUACUUUCAAUGGGGACGCCACGUCGGGAUGAGCUUACCAUAAAUCUAUAUUACUACUUUGACCUCAAAUCGAGCAGGACUACCCCCUGAACUUAA
rnacentral:misc_RNA from 1 species